ACCUCUGAGCUUUCACGAACUCACUUCUCUCUCGUCUCGGACCCUCGCGACUGCGGCAGCACUUCUCCUCCAAUCAAUAUCUCCGGCCACCGUGAUUCAAUAGCAGCGAUAUGUCGUCUCUCUGCCUCGCGUCUCCCUCGUCUCAAUUUCUUUGUUUGAAGUAUGCGCACCAAGCUGUGAGGAGACCGGAGAGGAGAGUCUUUGCUCCCUGUGUACGCUUGAAUCGUGCGAAAUAAACGCGACGACGAUGGUCUUCCGGAACUUGAUUUAAUUGCAGACUGGUUCAUGAGUCGAUACGAUUCAAUUUUGUGGCGCGGUUUCGGACUGACAAAUGGUUUGUUUAGUAAGUGGCUGAGCAUGAACAAAAGGCAAAUGGUGUGAGGUCAUGAAGAUGGGACAAAGGGUUUGAAGGAUAAUGUUUGAAGAGUAGGUUUAGGGAUGGAGAAUAGAUCCAUGAUCAAAAUAGGAUGUAGUUUUUUUGUGUAAAAUAUUUUUGGUGAUGUAAUGUGAAAGUUUUCUGUAAUGGUUUAUGACUUGUGCUCAUUUGACUCAUACAGUAGAAUAGGACUUUUUGGAUAUGAUUGAAAGUGUAAUGUGAAAGAACUUUGUAAAAGGGCACUGAAUGGUAUAUUCUUUUUGUAUGAUUUUUCUGUAUUGGGUAUUUGACUUUUGUAAUUUGAAUGUGGACCUUUU